rnacentral:sRNA from 1 species
AAUAUGCAUGUCUUGACCGAGAAAAGGAUCGAUCUAAGUCUAAGGGACAAAGACGAUGAAACCGGUACAAGAGUUGGUUAGAAUUAAACCAAGGUUAGAAAGACUUCCGCUGUGUAAUAAGAGAGCGAUUAUAGAAUUUAGCCUCAUAAAGGCAAUUCUAUGUUGAAUCGCGAAAAGUUAAGAGGUUCGGCCACCCCUACAGACCCAAAUUGUGUUAGUAGGAGUUCCGGUGGUUAUCCAGUAUACGAUCCUUUCGGUG